rnacentral:lncRNA from 1 species
UCGGCAUAGAAAAGAAUUCGCCGGUAGCUUAGAAACUGAAAAUCUCUUCGCCAUCUAACAAGUGGUAAUGGCGGCGGCGGCAGCUGAAGGACCUUGCCUCAAUCACAUUUCUAGAGAAACGUCUGAUAUCAAACGCCUCUCUAAAUUCUACAUGGAGGUACAUCUUUUGCUGAUACCUUUCGAGUUUUCACUUUCUUAAUUUCGCCAAAUUUAUGAGUUUUUUUAGUAAAAAUAGCAAGUUAAUUUUUGUGGGUCUUGUGGAAUCUUCGAAUGUAAGCCAAAGGUGUUGGUUUCUUGGUGUAGAUAAGGUUCCGGAUAAAAUGAAAAAUAUGUUGAUUUUCACUUGUUAGACUCUUAGGGUUUCAGUUAGUAAUUAAUCAGAUUGUGUUUAAUCAUUGGAAAAUUUAAGCAAUUGAAUAGUGCAAUGAGUAAAAAAAGCGAUCUUGAUUAGUGGGACCAUUUUUUUUUGUUUACUUGUAAUGAAGGUUUUUGGGUUUGAGCGGGUGGAGUCUCCAAAGUUCAAAUGUGAUCUUUAUUAGUGUUUCUUAUUUUGUUUUGUUAUGUUUUUGGAUAAUGAAGGUUUUUGGAUUUGAGCAGGUGGAGGCUCCAAAGUCCAAAUUUGAUCUUGAUUAGUGGUUCUUCUUUUCUUUUUGUUUUGGGUAAUGAAGGUUUUUGGGUUUGAGCAGGUGGAGUCUCC